GAGACUACGAUGCGGCGUGAGUUGUGCAAGCUUAAUUUAUUGAGGUUUAGUGGCAUGAGAUUGAUGGACCUCUUGGUAUGUAGUUGUGUUUGUGACGAUGUCAUUGUAGUAUAUAUAUAAUUUGGCGCACUAUACAACUAAGUAAUCUUGAAUUGUGACUUAUUUGUGAUUGAGUGUUACAAGGGUGAUCCACCUGUUACUGGAGUUGGGGUAUUGAGAUGGUGAUGGAUAUGACAUGGAUUUGAUGAUGGAUAGCGGGAAUAGGGACUGGAUAGAGUGAUAUUUAUUUCUUGUGGAUAUGUAGGCAUCGCUCUCUCCAGAGGUUUCCCUCUAUCCUUCAUCUAGAUGAACGUUCAUAUCCUCACCAAAACAACCACCACCACAUAUGAUUGUGGACAAUAAAAUACCUGCAACCCAAUUUCAUACUGAAGGAUGAACAGUGGAUGUAUUCAAAGCUCUCUGUGUGUGUGUGUGUGCGCGCGCGCGCGCGCGCGUCUCACACACACAAACAACAGAUACAUGGUCGAUGCAAGAUUGGUGAGACUAUCUAUGGUCAUCUGAGUUGAGCUGGUCAAAGCAUGAGGAUUUGGUGGAACAUAUAGCUGAAUCAACGCAUGGUUUGAACCAGAAACCGCUCUCUAAUGUUUGCACCGACGGGUGUUACAAUAUGGGUGAUAUUUCUGCUUGUACUACUUGUCAUUAAUGUCCUGGAUCCAAUUUUGUGGGAUGCAGUUGAAAGCUAAUUAUGAAGAUUGUUGUUUUGUAAGUCUUUGAUGUACAUGUAUUUUUCUUUCAAGAAAGUCUUAGAAAUGUGUGCAUUAUUGCAUAUAUACUUCUUGAGCUGACUGGUUUUCAUUUUUAAUUAAAGCUUGUUAUUAUUAUUAUUUUU